GCAGUAGCCGCGGUAAAACGGAGGGUGCAAGCGUUAAUCGGAAUUACUGGGCGUAAAGCGCACGCAGGCGGUCUGUCAAGUCGGAUGUGAAAUCCCCGGGCUCAACCUGGGAACUGCAUUCGAAACUGGCAGGCUAGAGUCUUGUAGAGGGGGGUAGAAUUCCAGGUGUAGCGGUGAAAUGCGUAGAGAUCUGGAGGAAUACCGGUGGCGAAGGCGGCCCCCUGGACAAAGACUGACGCUCAGGUGCGAAAGCGUGGGGAGCAAACAGGAUUAGAUACCCCGGUAGUCCCUGUCUCUUAUAC
rnacentral:rRNA from 1 species